rnacentral:rRNA from 1 species
UACGUAGGGUGCGAGCGUUAAUCGGAAUUACUGGGCGUAAAGCGUGCGCAGGCGGUUCGUUGUGUCGGUGGUGAAAGCCCCGGGCUUAACCUGGGAAUGGCCAUGGAAACUGGCGAACUGGAGUGUGGCAGAGGGGGGGUGGAAUUCCGCGUGUAGCAGUGAAAUGCGUAGAGAUGCGGAGGAACACCGAUGGCGAAGGCAGCCCCCCUGGGUCAAGAUUGACGCUCAUGCACGAAAGCGUGGGGAGCAAACAGG